rnacentral:misc_RNA from 1 species
CGCUUUCCUCUUCCUCCCGGUCUGUUUCGGUACAGCCAUUUUUUAGUUCGGAAGCGUGUUAGUUCGCGUCGUGUAAUAUUACGUUGUUUUACUGAAUUUAUAGACUUGGUUCUAAUACGAGCCAAAAAUGCCAGGAUUUAGCAGCGUGGGUACAUUUAAAAUUUUCAUUGGUAACUUAGCUGAUAAAACAUCAAACGCUGAUAUCAAGCCACUUUUCGAAAAAUAUGGAAAAGUCGUAGAAUGUGAUGUUGUUAAAAAUUAUGGAUUUGUGCAUAUGGAGAAUGAAGAAGCUGGAAGAAAUGCAAUUCAGAAUUUGAAUGGACAAAUAGUUCAUGGACAGCCCAUAAAGUGUGAAGCUGCAAAGAGUCGUAAAGGACCCAAUACUCCUACAACAAAAAUUUUUGUUGGCAAUCUUACAGACAACACAAAAGCACCUCAAGUGCGCGAAUUGUUUGCUAAAUAUGGCACUGUCGUAGAAUGCGAUAUAGUGAGAAACUAUGGAUUCGUCCAUCUAGAAGCCACAGGUGACGUGAACGAUGCCAUCAAGGAGCUUAAUGGGCAAAUCGUCGAUGGUCAACCUAUGAAGGUUCAAAUUUCCACUAGCAGAGUACGACAAAGGCCAGGAAUGGGAGAUCCAGAACAAUGCUACCGAUGCGGACGUGGAGGCCAUUGGUCCAAGGAAUGUCCAAAAGGAGGAAUGGGAGGAGGACCCGACAGGAAUGGAUUUCGUGACAGAAUGUUUGGACGUGACCCGUAUCCUCCACCGCCGCCACCACCUUUCCUUCGGGACCGGCUAAUGGGUGGUGGCCGCUUUGGAGACUACGAAAGCUACUAUGACAGGAGGGGCUUCGACGACACCAGGGAUCUCUACGAGAGGCGGUUUACGGGUAUGACAGGGCCCUGUGACAUGGGAACAUCCAUGUGCGGGCUAGACUUUCCACCAAUGACAAUGCCACCUCUACCUCCAAGACGAGACCCAAUGCCUCCUAUGCCUCCUCUAGGUAUGGGAUCCAUGCGUGACACUGGCUUCUCCCGAGGCAACGAUUAUGGCAUGUUCAGCCGACGAUCACCCCCUCCAAGCGGCAACAACGGCCGGUUCAGUUUGCAAUGGAUGUGGGGGAAGCAAGCUUCCCUGCCAGUGGUCCUACGAAACCAGGGUCCCACCGGCACCACUUGGGUACAUAUUUCCGUGUAGGCUCUGCAGCGGAAGAGAGCGUGUUCUGCACCAUCCUGUUCGGCGCUGCAGUUCUAACAGAGCAAUUGGCACCGCUGAUGAAGUAGUUGCGCAUGAGGUAGCAUACAAUGCGAAUAAGUCACUUCACGCAUAUACGGACGUGGGAUAUUAAUUUUUUGUAAUAUUAUGCAUCAUGUAUUAAAGAGAAAAGCGAGC